rnacentral:lncRNA from 1 species
AUAUAAAUAUAGACUGUUUUUUUUUUGGUCUUUGGUGUUUUGGGUUAAAUCGCGAUACUAAGCAACAGCUCGGUUUAGAAGGUUUAGAUUUGAAUAUUUGAAGCUCACUUUGGACUGAGAAGUUCAAGGCUGAACACGAGCGAUUUUGAUCUGCGGAUUAUCCUCAACUCACUUCACCAAUUCUCACUCUUUUCUCAAUAUUUCUCACUAAUUUCUCAUUAAUUUCUUAUUAAUUUCUUAUUAAUUUCUCUCGUUUCUGUCAGUGCUUCUCACUAUGCCUUUUCCGGUGUAUUUUUCAGAUGGCGCUGCGGAGCUGCUGGACUUCCUGGACUGGCUGGAUGACUACUACCCCCGUUUCCCCAGACCAAACCUUCGUGCUCUUCUUCAGGUACCCGGAGUUGCUACAGUGGAGACCUUGGUGUUCCUCUGUCCAUCCUUUCCUCUCCUUAGGCCGGAUGGAUUCGCUCAGUUGCUUUACCUCCCAGAUGUCGGUCUGUUCUACCCCACUUUCUUCCCCCUGGUGUGGGAGGACAGAGCCGAGUCUCAGCAGCCAUAUUGCCCACCUGUGCUACAUGGAUCUGCUGUGGCAAGCCUACCUGAAGACCAGGGUCCUCCCAACUGCCUGCAGACAGCUGGAGCCUCGACCGGACAGGGACCACAAGCCGGGGGGCCACUGCAUCGCUCUCCCUGAGGACGACUGCGCACCACCUCGCAAGAGACGCCGCAUCUGAUCCAACCUGUAUCCUUUAUUUAUUACUCUGUAUAUGUUUAUCUAUUACUGAUAAGUUUACUUUAUAUAUAUUUAUAUUGUAUAGUCCAUUAAUUAACUAGCUAUAUUUUUAUAGAGUAGAUAAGUUUACUUUAUCAUUUUAUAAACUUUCAUAAGUUUACCUUCAUAAGUUUCUUUUUUCCUUUUUAUGAAAUUAAUAAAUUUCCUUACCAUUAGACUUUAAUUAACUAU